ACGCUCGACACCUACGGGAGCAGCAGUAGGGAAUCUUCCACAAUGGACGCAAGUCUGAUGGAGCAACGCCGCGUGAGUGAAGAAGGUCUUCGGAUCGUAAAACUCUGUUGUUAGAGAAGAACACGAGUGAGAGUAACUGUUCAUUCGAUGACGGUAUCUAACCAGCAAGUCACGGCUAACUACGUGCCCNNNCGCGUAGUACUGNGCGGCGNGNAG
rnacentral:rRNA from 1 species